rnacentral:rRNA from 1 species
UACGGAGGGUGCAAGCGUUAUCCGGAUUCACUGGGUUUAAAGGGUGCGUAGGUGGGCUGGUAAGUCCGUGGUGAAAUCUCCGAGCUUAACUCGGAAACUGCCGUGGAUACUAUUAGUCUUGAAUACUGUGGAGGUAAGCGGAAUAUGUCAUGUAGCGGUGAAAUGCUUAGAUAUGACAUAGAACACCGAUAGCGAAGGCAGCUUGCUACACAGUCAUUGACACUGAGGCACGAAAGCGUGGGGAGCAAACAGG